GCCUGUAUAGCUUAGUUGGUAGAGCACUUGCCUAGUAAGCAAGAGGUCACCGGUUCGACUCCGGUUACAGGCU